AGGUGAUUCACCUUCCCCAGCUAAGAUAGAUAAGGAAAGACUCCCCUCCCAGAAGCAAAACACAGACACCUUAAUUCACUCUGUGACCCUGGAAAAAUAUGUCCCCUCUCUGCACCUUGGUUUCCUUCUUUGUACAGUGAGGACAGGGUUAGUUAGACAAGGGAAUUCUCAGUCCCUUCUAGCUGUUAUUCUGUUUAACUGAAUAUUAUUCAGCUUUUCUAGGUGCAAGGAGCUCUGUACACCUCACCCCCAUUUAAUCCUCACAUGCCCCUGAAAGGCAGAUAUUGCAUGGGUCACUACAAAAGUGUUGAGGCAGACUGUGUUAGGGUCCAUCAUUUCACUUCCAAGAGACACAGACAACAGCAUCCUUUCUGGUACUCCUGCGAGUUUGAAGGGACCUUGCUCAGCUUAUCAGUGUUGCUGGGAGGGCUUCAUUUGUUUCUGUUCACACAGAUUUUACAUUGCUUGAUUUUUGUGUAUCUCUUCGUGAUGACCUACGUAGUUUUCCCUUUUCAUGGAUGAAGAAACCCAGGCCCAGCAAGGUAAGCCAUGCUCUUUCCCUAUUAACCACGCUGCUGUUCCCUGACUCGCCAGUGUUACCUUCCUUUCUUCCCUCCACUACAGCUACUGGGAGGGCACAGAGGAAGUCUCCUACAGGGGUUUUGGCUUUGAUUAGGUGCCACUGAUAACCCGAGGAAGCCCCAGCAGGUCCCAGAGUCCCCUAUCUUCCGCUUGUCCCCACUCUGCCCUCGCUGGGGCCCCUCUCACCUUGAUUCAUGGAGCUGUGGAAGGACUCCUGGUAGGAGAGCUCCGAGUGGAAGCUGUGCUGGGAGAGGCUGACACCAUGCCCGGUACUCACCACGUUCUCUGGAUGUGAGGGCUCCGAGCUGACUUGCAUCCACUCGAUGUCCAGCCCGUUGGGACCAUAGUCCUCAGGGUCCAGGAUAUAGGGGCAGCCCAGCCUCACAUUAUCACCUUCUGCCAGCCCCAGGCCAGGAGAACAGCAGCUCAUUUCUGAGAUAAGAAUCCUGCUCCCUGUGCUGAAUCCUGGGAUGGCACAAGCCAAGGCGGGGUGAGGCAGAGCUCAGCGGAGAGCAGAGGCUCCACCCUGAGGAACCACCCACAUAGGGAGGACUCUGUCCCCACACCAGAGGAGCCAGACAGGCAAGAGGAUAUUUCCUCAACCUCCUCCCAGGUGUUCCAGCCUUUCUGCACUCCUCCCUCUCCAGUGUGUCACCUGGCACCGAGGAAGUACAUCCAGGGAAUGUGAGAGAAGAGAGAGGCGGAAAAGAGGGAAGAAGCCCAGGGGAUGAGACAGCUGAGUGGGGAGAGUCACAACAGACUCUUGAAGGAAGAAGACAAUGAUGAUUAAUUGUCACCCCACAAAAGCACUAGAGUUGGCUACCAUCUCUGGCAUGUCACCUGUAUAGUGGUGUCUACUCUUGGCUUAUAAAUCCUUUCUGAAUUUUCAA